CAAAGUUCAUCUCUGUCUUUUUUAAUGUGAACACAUGACUAAUAAGAUCUCCAUUAAUAGUCUAUUUCCGAGCCGCAUGUUGUUUACUGAAAAGCUUCAACCGUAAAUGUCAGCACAGAACCUGAGCUACAUCGACCUGAAAAGAACCAAAGAGAUGUAAACUAUAUCUGACCAAGGUCGACAGGGACUAUAAAACAAACACCGGGUUUAAGGUGAAGUCUUCCCUGCGUGAAGGAUGUCACCACUGGAGUGUCCUGGCUGGAUCGGCAAGCAGUCAGCAGAAGGGGAGGAGAGAAGAAGAGAGGAGGGAAGAGACGGCGAAAUGUGUUUCCUGAAUGGGAGGAGAGGUGGAAAAAGCCCAUCCUGCCCCAAGAAUCACCGCCGCCCCACCAGAGCUGCCGCCACUGGCCUUUCUGCAGAGGCAGCAAAAGUUCCCCAAGAGGGGAGCGUCUGCCAACUCAAACAGGGCUCAUUCUCCUCUCUGUGGGCCGUCAGCCGCCCAUGUGGGCCUGCGCUGGGCUUCCUGAGGGCUCGAUGCAGCUGGAGGACUUUGAAUAAAGGUAACGGCAAUGUCACAGCUACUGUAAACUUGCGAGGCUGCUCCUGUCAGCAGGACAUUCCCAAUCAAAGCAGAAACAACCCCACCUAAAACACAACACAUUGUUUUUUUCCACUGGCCCCAAGUCCAAACUUCCCACGAAUCACAAAGACAGCACACAGGCGAGAGGGCAACCACUGUUCCCUGAUCUUGCCAAACAAAAUGCCAAGAGACCAGGAAUGACAUUCAGCUCUGGGGUUUAAAAAUACGAGCAAUUUGAAAAUGAUUAGUCUUAUUUUCUUGUUGAGCGCCUGACACAGGAGAGGAAACCAGAACAAUCAACCCAACUGCCUUUUUUUCUGCUGAAUUUAGAAACACUAAUUAGUUUUGCUCUCGUAAAGCCAACCUGAAAACGACCAAUUAGAAAGUGAAAAUGAGACGUGCAGAGAAACAAGAGCUUGUCAUUUGCACUGUUUAAGUCCCAUAUGCACAACUUUACUGUGAUGACUUUCACACAAGCUCGGGAUGAUUGGCAUGCCACCUACUAAA